CUUCCGUUGGAGGACUCGACCAUGUGUAGAGGAUAGUGGCCCACCAGCUCCACGAAGAACCGCACAAAGGCCUCCGACAACAGAGAGCUCAGAUCUGUCUCCAUCCUCCUGUCUCAGGAUAUCUUCCCUCUCCUCCAAGAUCUGCUGCAGUGCUGCUUGCAGUUUACUGGGCAGGAUGCAGUCUUCAUCGCCCAGCUGCCACACAUGACAGGAAUAGUCAACAUCAGUUACAUGAUGUGUUUUAUGAACAUACGUGUCUUUUUUUUGGUGUUAGUGGGACUUCAACAUAACAGAAACUGUCUGUACUUGUGACUGUAAGUUUUCCAGUGUAUUCAUUGUGUUUAAGAGUUAUUUUUGGUGCUGUGAUACACAAAGAUGGGUUUCACUAAUUUGGACAUAAACAUAUUUCAAAUCCACUGUGUUGGAGUGAAGAUCAAAAAGAAUAUAACAUGUGUAGCUGUCUAAAUAGUCCUGUCACAGACCUGCACUGUUUACGGACCACAGUGCCGGUAAAUUCUAUUUAUUCGUUUGGUCAAACAUUCUUUUGCCUUUUUAUUCAAACUUUUCAAACAAUGACACGUUACAUGCUGAGAAGGGAAGUCAUUUCUAAUUUGCUGUUUGGCCCAUUAGCUUAUAGUUAAUUCAGGCACAGUCUCAUUCUCUAUUAUGAUCUCAAGCUGACUAAAUGAAAUGUCAACCACAACCCUGUCAAAAUAAUACAGACUUAAACAAACACAAUAAAACAAAAUUGAAUAAACUGA